rnacentral:rRNA from 1 species
UACAGAGGUCCCAAGCGUUGUUCGGAUUCACUGGGCGUAAAGGGUGCGUAGGUGGCGAGGAAAGUCUGAUGUGAAAUCUCCGGGCUUAACCCGGAAAUGGCAUUGGAAACUGCCUUGCUCGAGGAUUGGAGGGGGGACUGGAAUACUUGGUGUAGCAGUGAAAUGCGUAGAUAUCAAGUGGAACACCAGUGGCGAAGGCGAGUCCCUGGACAACUCCUGACACUGAGGCACGAAAGCUAGGGGAGCAAACGGG